rnacentral:lncRNA from 1 species
GAAUGUUUAAAAUUUUUAAGUGAAAUUAAAGGUAGGUAUUCCACAACCUUCAAAAUACAACAAUAGGAGUGGCAUAAUCCACUUACUUCUAAUACAAAACAAGGACAAUAAGUUACCAUUCUUGUCAAAUUAUUAAGAACAUAAAUUUCAAAAAUUUAAAAUUUCAAUAUAUUCUUAUAUCACUCAAAAAGAUUAAAAAAUCACUUAAAGAUGGUAAUAUAUAUUGAACUAGAAUGGCUUUUGCCAAAGACAAGAAGACUACAAAGUCUUGAAACAAAACUAAGGACUAAAAAUGCAUUGACAAGAGUGAAAAAAGCUUCAUU